UACGUAGGCAGCGAGCGUUGUUCGGAGUUACUGGGCGUAAAGGGUGUGUAGGCGGUUGUUUAAGUUUGGUGUGAAAUCUCCCGGCUCAACCGGGAGGGUGCGCCGAAUACUGAAUGACUCGAGUGCGGGAGAGGAGAGUGGAAUUCCUGGUGUAGCGGUGAAAUGCGCAGAUAUCAGGACGAACACCCGUGGCGAAAGCGGCUCUCUGGAACGGUACUGACGCUGAGACGCGAAAGCGUGGGGAGCGAACAGG
rnacentral:rRNA from 1 species